GCAGGUUUUCUCAAAAGGAGUCUUGAGCACACCAAGGCUACGGAGAAUACGACUGACAGAAGAAGUAAAUGACAAAGGGCGCUGGAAUGGCAAUCUUAAUACUACCAUAGAUCAAUUGUUUGCAGAAAUGGUAUCGUUUUUGGUUAAUCAAAUUUCCACUUCUUCCACAAUUUAUAAUAGCUAUAUGCAUCUUAAAAGUUUGAGUAGAAUUAAUAAUACUAUGAAAUCAUAGUUCUAUUCUGAAGUAUUCUCUUCUUGAUCAUGACUUCCUUUUCGCUGCAUUUUUUCCAUGAUUUAUAGAAUACCAAAGAACAUUGAACCCCAUACCAUAUGUGCUCAAGCUGAAAUAAGGCCAAUCCUCUUGGUUGCUGCCAGGCACUGGAUCAUGUAUUCCGUUAGUGGGAGGUAGAUGGAGGGGCUUUCUUAUUCUGUUCUUUUAUGCAAGGUGUUGUUUUCUUUUGAGAUUUUAAAUGGUGGGAGGACCGUUUUGCCCCCAUAUGUAUGAAUUACACUAUUUAAUUAUAUAUUGUGUCAGUGUUCUGCCUUUGUGCAAAGAGUAUGUCUAUAAAUAUUGGAUUUCUAAUGUGUUUGCACAUUGUAAAUUAAAAUGAUUUUGCAAUAAUUUCUUGUACCAAUCUUGGACUUGUAUUCAUUUGAACAAUUUAGCAGUAAAAUUAUCUGAAUAAUUGUAGUCCCUGGCUAACAUUUGUUGUGACAUUUAGGAAUUGCUUCAUAAGAAUGGUGAAUGUGAGGUUGCUUUUAGUUGCUUGAAAUAUUUGAUACUUCAUUGUGCCCAAGGUGCUUACCUUCUCUCAAGGUCGUUACCUCAUUCACUCACCUAUGGGAUCUGGCCAGAGCAGGGCUUCAACAGUGUUACUCCGGCGAAAAUCAGAAAUAGGGUGCUCUAUUUUCCUUGAUUUACAUACUUCUAUUUUUGCUCUUAUAUAACGACGUUUUGGUUUUUCAAGUUUUGCAUAGAUCAUGAAAUUUUUAGUUUUUUUUCUUGAAGGAUUUUGAUCAAGCAGAGAAGGU
rnacentral:misc_RNA from 1 species